CGACCGCGACCCCAGGUCAGGCGGGACUACCCGCUGAGUUUAA
rnacentral:rRNA from 1 species